UCACUCUGGUUUCCCUUCAAAACGUAUAAAUCUUUCGCCUUUUACUAAAGAUUUCCGUGGAGGGGAACACUCAAAUGAGUCUAAACUCUAUUUUUGAAAACCUUACUUCGGUAAGGUU
rnacentral:snRNA from 1 species